rnacentral:rRNA from 1 species
AGUGAACGCUGGCGGUAGGCCUAACACAUGCAAGUCGAACGGCAGCACAGUAAGAUCUUGCUCUUACGGGUGGCGAGUGGCGGACGGGUGAGGAAUACAUCGGAAUCUACUAUUUCGUGGGGGAUAACGUAGGGAAACUUACGCUACUACCGCAUACGUCCUACGGGUGAAAGCAGGGGUUCUUCGGACCUUGCGCGAUUGAAUGAGCCGAUGUCGGAUUAGCUAGUUGGCUAGGUAAAGGCCCACCAAGGCGACGAUCCGUAGCUGGUCUGAGAGGAUGAUCAGCCACACUGGAACUGAGACACGGUCCAGACUCCUACGGGAGGCAGCAGUGGGGAAUAUUGGGCAAUGGGCGCAAGCCUGAUCCAGCCAUACCGCGUGGGUGAAGAAGGCCUUCGGGUUGUAAAGCCCUUUUGUUGGGAAAGAAAAGCAGCAGGUUAAUACCCCGCUGUUCUGACGGUACCCAAAGAAUAAGCACCGGCUAACUUCGUG